AUUGAACGCUGGCGGCAGGCCUAACACAUGCAAGUCGAGCGGAUGAAGGGAGCUUGCUCCUGGAUUCCGCGGCGGACGGGUGAGUAAUGCCUAGGAAUCUGCCUGGUAGUGGGGGAUAACGUCCGGAAACGGGCGCUAAUACCGCAUACGUCCUGAGGGAGAAAGUGGGGGAUCUUCGGACCUCACGCUAUCAGAUGAGCCUAGGUCGGAUUAGCUAGUUGGUGGGGUAAAGGCCUACCAAGGCGACGAUCCGUAACUGGUCUGAGAGGAUGAUCAGUCACACUGGAACUGAGACACGGUCCAGACUCCUACGGGAGGCAGCAGUGGGGAAUAUUGGACAAUGGGCGAAAGCCUGAUCCAGCCAUGCCGCGUGUGUGAAGAAGGUCUUCGGAUUGUAAAGCACUUUAAGUUGGGAGGAAGGGCAGUGAGUUAAUACCUUGCUGUUUUGACGUUACCAACAGAAUAAGCACCGGCUAACUUCGUG
rnacentral:rRNA from 1 species